CCGUAAAAAUAAAAGGUUAUCGGCAAGUUUCAGCCACAGAUGUAUCUUUGUGAAAUGCGCAUGCGUGUUAUAUGUAAGAAUUAAGGUUGGGUCGUAUUUUAUGAGAAGGGAAACUCCGUUAAGCAAUUCUUUAUUUUUUUGUAUUUUUUUGAUUUUUUAUUGAAGUAAAAGUUUAUAAUAGCAGUUUAAUAGAUCCUGUAUUCAAGGUUGAGUGGAAUUGGUUGUAAUUUUUUUAAAAAUUUUAGAAAAUUUUUAGAGUUUAUCCUUUUCAUUUUUACAUUUAAAAAAACAUUUUUAAAAACGAGUUUUAUUUUGACAACGUUCAGCUAGUCUGGUGUCGAGCACUACAAAUAAUAAGACUCAUAACAUGUGAAUACAAUUGAAAUCAAUGUAAUCGAACAUACAGUAUUGGAUAUAGUUUGGUUUAUUUAUUUUAUUUUAAGCUACCUGUUCACUAAAUACAUGUUAAAAUUAUUAGAAGAAAUUUUCCUAUAAGUUUUAUUCUCAAACUGUCACUGCAAAGUCUUAACAAGUGGUUUCUUUCAUACAGCAAGUUACUUUUAAUAAGAAACUAUGUCUUUGGAUUAAACUGCAAAAGUGAUGUCAAAAAAGUAUUGUGUAUAUGGAAAACUAACUAUCAAAGUACCAAAAAUAAUAAAAUAGAAUGUUAUCUGUCUACUUGCAUUUUGGUACAAAAAAUGGCAGAAAUCAAACUCUGAUAACUUUAAUAUAAGCAGUAAUGAAUGGCAAGGUGGAAUUUUUUCACUGUUCUUGUUUCAAUUUUAUAUACGAAAACUGAUUUUUACUAUUAUGAAUUUGCAUAUUGGAUGUAACCUAGGUGGCAUUUUUUUGAUUCUUCUGGCAUAUGCAGACGUUAUUGUCCUUAUUGCACCAUCUUGAUUUGUAUUGCAAAAAUUACUAACUGCAUUAAAUGUUGAAGCCACUGCUAUUAAUAUGUCAUUUAAUACCAAGAAAACAGUGUGCAUGGUUUUUAAUCCAAAGCAGAAAUGUAAAAUUGUUUUAUACAAAUUUCCUCCAAUUACUUUAGCUGGUUGUGAAUUGGUUUUUGUGGACAAAUUUAAGACACAUUGUUGAAAGCAGUUUUACUGAUAAUGAUGAUAAAAAUAUAUAGAUAAAAUGUUUAUAUAUGUACACAAAUAUUAUUAACAGACGAUUCAAGAGAUGCUCAGUUAAUGUAAAAGCUAAAAGUGAAAAGUUAUUUAAGAUGUACUGCUUCUGUUUGUACAAUGCGGCUCUGUAGCUUAACUUUGGUGUAAAUAUUUUGUUAAAUCUACAAUCUUGUUAUUAGAAAUGUGCUAAAAUAUUUUUUGAUUAUGACAAGUAUUCAAGUGUUGAAGAUAUAUUUAAUGACCUGGUUCAUUUCAGAUACUUCAUUACUCAACUGCAGGCAGUCUUAAAAAUCAGCUUGUUGUCUGCGUUAAUAAUUUUUGAGAAUUUACCUUUUGAAAUAUUCCAUUGUGCAAUAAUAUGUUUCAUAUAAAGUUUAUGUCAAAGUUUAAAGAAAUUGUACAUUUUUUUUAUCUCAUGGAGACAGAUCAUAAAAAAAACAUUCAGCAACUAUUAUCAGUUAUGUUUGCAAAGAUGAUUGGAAACAAAAUAUAUGCAACAAAUAUAAUUGUAUAUAAAUGUAAAAAAAUAUAUAUUUUACCAUGGGGGAUAUUAUUGGGUAAAUCUAAGAUAAGAUUCCAAUUUAAAAUUUAAAUUUUUGUUUUUACAAAUAAACUCUAACAUAAGACUUAUUAAAUCAUCUUCUGGUGAUAUAAAAGUUGUUAUCUGUGACUUCAGUUUGGUGAUAUGGCUCUUGAAAUGUGUUUUAAAAAUGGCAAAAGAGUUAAGCAGUUAUCUAAUGAUACUGUAUUUAUUAGCAAUGAGUCAAGGUUACAUUCUCUUUGGUAUGUUUACAAGUGACAAUUUAGAAUUACUUUAUAAAUGAUAUUAAUAAAAGAAUUACUUUAUAAAUGAAUUACUUUAUAAAUGUUCAACAAACUAUAGAAAAAUUGCAUUUAAAUCACGUAUCACUGUUGUUAUCUUUAAAUAUCGACUCUUUUAAUUUUAAUUCAGGUCAUGAGUGCGCUUCUUGCACAUAUGUUUUAUGUGAAGCAGGAAGUGAAAUAUUUGACAAUUUAGAAAAACGAGAAUCAUCAUUUUCUGAUACUACCAAAAUGUCUAAGAUAUGUAUUGCUGGUUAUGUACGAAGAAAUGAUUAUAAUGAAAAUAAUUUGUUCCAUUAAACAUUACUUUAUUAUGAAAAGUUUGGUGACCAGUCUAUAUAUCGUGGUGAUCUUAAAAUUCCACUAGACAAUGUAUACUAAUGGGUUUUUUUUUUUUGCUUAUUUCAUUCGAUAAAAGAUAAAGUUUGUUUUAA